rnacentral:lncRNA from 1 species
AUUGGGGUUUUAGAAGUAACCAUUCAUUAUCUGUGAGGUUACGCUUUCCUCUAAUCUUCUCUAGUUUGGGAAUCAUUAGUGUGUUUUCUAAUGCCAAUCCUUGUUGUUGCAUCCAUAAAUACCUGAUGGCACAAGUACUCCAAUUACUUAGACCUGUAGUGAAUUUCAUAGUUGCAACAGUUAAAUUAUCUAAAUAAUUAUACAUUGAUUUAUCUAAAUCCAAUCCUAUAACCUGUGAUUUAACAACAAUUGGAGCCCAAUUUGCAGUAGCAUGAAAACCAGUCCCUAUAUGCAUGCUGGCUGUGUUUAACUUAUUCUUGAGGGUCUCCAUAUCUAUAACUAUUUAGUAUACCCAUAGUGGUUCCAGCACCU